GUACUAGCUUCGGCAGCACACAUAUAAAAUUGGAAGGAUUCAAGGAAGAUCAUCACGGCCCCUAUUGCAACUAUGACACACACAUUUGUGAAGCGUUCCUUUUUUUU